GCCUAGGAGGGUUAGUCAGUUAAACUGUCUGACUUCAGUUCAGGUCAUGAUCUCAUGGUUUGUGGGUUCGAGCCCCACAUUGGGCU
rnacentral:tRNA from 1 species